rnacentral:rRNA from 1 species
CCUACGGGGGGCUGCAGUGGGGGAUAUUGGGCAAUGGAGGCAACUCUGACCCAGCAACGCCGCGUGAAUGAUGAAGGUCUUCGGAUUGUAAAGUUCUGGGAUGGGGGAUGAACACAAUGACGGUACCCCAAUAGCAAGCCACGGCUAACUACGUGCCAGCAGCCGCGGUAAUACGGAGGUGGCAAGCGUUAGCCGGAAUGACUGGGCGUAAAGGGUGCGGAGGUGGUUUAGUAAGUUGGCGGUGUAAUUCCGGGGCCCAAACUCGGCGCUACCGCCAAAACUAUUAGACUAGAGUGCAGGAGGGGUAAGUGGAAUUCCUAGUGUAGCGGUGGAAUGCGUAGAUAUUAGGAGGAACAUCAGGGGCGAAGGCGACUUGCUGGACUGUAACUGACACUGAGGCACGAAAGCGUGGGGAGCAAACAGGAUUAGAUACCCGGGUAGUC